rnacentral:misc_RNA from 1 species
GAUGAAGAACGCAGCGAAAUGCGAUAAGUAGUGUGAAUUGCAGAAUUCAGUGAAUCGUCGAAUCUUUGAACGCACAUUGCGCCCUUUGGUAUUCCAAAGGGCAUGCCUGUUCGAGCGUCAUUUGUACCCUCAAGCUUUGCUUGGUGUUGGGCGUCUUGUCUCUAGCUUUGCUGGAGACUCGCCUUAAAGUAAUUGGCAGCCGGCCUACUGGUUUCGGAGCGCAGCACAAGUCGCACUCUCUAUCAGCAAAGGUCUAGCAUCCAUUAAGCCUUUUUUUCAACUUUUGACCUCGGAUCAGGUAGGGAUACCCGCUGAACUUAAGCAUAUCAAUAAGCGGAGGA